AGGGUAUGGUGGAGGAUAAGGUGGAUGGUAUGGUGGAGGGUAAGGUAGAGGAUAAGGUGGAGGGGUAUGGUGGAGGGUAAGGUAGAAGAGAAGGUGGAGGGUAAGGUAGAGGAUAAGGUGGAGGAUAAGGCGGAGGGGUAUGGUGGAUGGCAAGGUGCAGGAUAAGGUGGAGGGUAUGGUGGAGGGUAAGGUGGAGGGUAAGGUGGAGGGUAAGGUGGAGGAUAUGGUGGAGGGUAUGGUGGAGGAUAAGGUGGAGGAUAAGGUUGAGGGCAUGGUGGAGGAUAUGGUGGAGGGCAUGGUGGAGUAUAAGGUGGAGGGUAUGGUUGAGGAUAAGGUGGAGGAUAAGGUUGAGGGCAUGGUGGAGGAUAAGGUGGAGGGUAUGGUGGAGGGUAAGGUGAAGGAUAAGGUGGAGGAUAAGGUGGAGGGUAUGGUGGAGGAUAAGGUGGAGGAUAAGGUGGAGGAUAAGGUGGAGGAUAAGGUGGAGUAUAAGGUGGAGGGUAUGGUGGAGGAUAAGGUGGAGGAUAAGGUGGAUGGUAUGGUGGAGGAUAAGGUGGAGGAUAAGGUGGAGGGUAUGGUGGAGGAUAAG
ensembl:lncRNA